rnacentral:rRNA from 1 species
CAACGCGAAGAACCUUACCAACCCUUGACAUGGCAGACGAUUUCCAGAGAUGGAUCUCUUCACGUUCGGUGACCUGCACACAGGUGCUGCAUGGCUGUCGUCAGCUCGUGUCGUGAGAUGUUGGGUUAAGUCCCGCAACGAGCGCAACCCUCGCCCCUAGUUGCCAUCAUUUAGUUGGGCACUCUAAGGGGACUGCCGGUGAUAAGCCGGAGGAAGGUGGGGAUGACGUCAAGUCUUCAUGGCCCUUACGGGUUGGGCUACACACGUGCUACAAUGGCGGUGACAGAGGGCAGCCACUUCGCGAGAAGGAGCUAAUCCCUAAAAGCCGUCUCAGUUCGGAUUGCACUCUGCAACUCGAGUGCAUGAAGUCGGAAUCGCUAGUAAUCGCAGAUCAGCACGCUGCGGUGAAUACGUUCCCGGGCCUU